GCUGGUCAAUGAUGAUUUAUUUUUUUUGUUGGACAGCUGGAUGAGAUUUGCGGAUAUGGGACUGAGACCAGCC